GCUGGUCUAGGCCGGCCAUGUUCACCUUGGCUGCUAGACUGGCAUGGCUGGCAGUCAUUGAAAGCACCACGAGGUAUAAAAAUAAUAUACAGCCCAGUUAAUAAAAAAAUCCCAGGAUGGUGCCAGGGGUUCAGACCAACGACGUUACGUAAGGCUAUCCAGUCACAGAGCCAAGAGGAACAGAGGCAUUGCUGAGUGCUGAAGGAGGGACUGUAUAAAACACGACCUGAAGUUCGGCCUGAAGAGAGUGAUUGGAUGAACCGGCUUUCUCCUGCCUGCGCGCACUCCGCUCGUUCACCACACAGUCGGGCAUGUGACCAGUCUCUUGCAUGGUGUCGGCAAACAAGCUCCGGUAGCUCCGGUUAGCAGCCGAGUUGCUGUACUGAACUCAAGAAGAAAAGAGUUGCAGAAUGGCAGAGAAAAUGUAUACAACAGCUUCCGGUCGCAACAGACAGAGCAGUGGAAAUGGCUACGGACACAAAGAGGUUGGAGACUACAGGAGGAGUGAACUGAGUAAACAUCGGUGUGGCUCUUCAACGCUGGCGUCAACUCCGGGAGGAGAAGAGGGGGAAAAGUACAACAAGUUGUACAUGAAGAAGUCCAGGACCUGGAGGUUGUCUGCCACGGACCAGAGCACUGACACCAGAUGAUCCUAGUCAACAGCUAGAGAAGCAGGUCAGCAGAGGACCAGGACCACUUCCUAAAGAGUCGACGACAGCACAGCCUGACCCGUCAGACCUGCUUUGACACUA